AAACCUAAGUACAGAGUAGCUUUUUUUUCAUUUUUCCACUUGCGUUUUCGAAUUCAUGAGUAUUCUUAUAUACUCAUUUGUCUUCCAUUAACUUCGAUCUCCUUUUUCCUUGAUAAAAAUAAACGGUUUUAGAAAUUUUCAAUUAAAAAUUGCUUCUUGUUCAUGAAGAAUGAUCUAAAAUUCAGCAAAAGAGGGCUAUAUGGAGGUUAAAAAGAGGUUAGGACAGGUAGAUUUUGCUAGGAAACAUCUAUUCUAUGCAGCACAUCAGCCUGAGGCAACAGAACUCCACAAAUUCAAGCAGUGGAGAAGCAUUUAAAUAGAUGCUUUGAUGCUCGGAAAUUUGGAGAAUGGAAAACUGCAUUGUGGGAAGGAGAUGCUGCGAUUGCUGCCGGAGUUGACUAUUCUCCUCAGGCUCAUUUGAUUUUUGCAAUGGUCCGGGCUCAAAUAUUACUUGUAAUGAUGCAGGCUUAUCAGAAUUCUGUUGCAAUAUCAAGUGCUAAGUGUAAACUGCUGCAAUCCCAUACAGAACAGUCAAAUUUGUGAAAGCAGACAGAGACAAAAUCGUCAAAAUUUGAAGGUUGACCAUUGUAUCAAUUAACUAACUAGCUUUUUUUUAGUUAUAGAGUAUUAUUUAUUGUGAACUAUGAGAGAAAUAUUUGUAAUUUACAAGUACAUCAAUUCAAUAUAAUUUCCAAGAUGUCGCUUAAA